GCCUAGUUUCUUCCUCUUUCUCCAACCAAGAGGACCAACCAACAGCCCCUUCUUCUCCAACCCUUGGGCCAUUGCCAUUCCAAAAGUGCUCAAACAAUCUCAGUUUACUAUGUUCACUUAGUAGUAAUGAAGGACAAAACAAACUAAAUUCAAUUUCAGCCUGAAAUAAAGCAGUGGCCAACUCCUGGUAUCCAGCCUGCCAUUCAAACCUACAAAGACUAAGAAAUACAUCAACCAGACCCAGUUCUAG
rnacentral:misc_RNA from 1 species